rnacentral:rRNA from 1 species
GAUGAACGCUGGCGGCGUGCCUAAUACAUGCAAGUCGAGCGAAGCGGGGACGGGUGAGUAACACGUGUAUAACCCCCUAUAAGACUGGGAUAACUUCGGGAAACCGGAGCUAAACCGGAUACUUACAGCUGAAUCCGUGCUGCAUUCGCUAGUGUGACAGGUAACGGCUUACCAAGGCAACGAUGCAUAGCCUACCUGAGAGGUGGCUCGGCCAAACUGGCACUGAGACACGGUCCAGACUCCUACGGGAGGCAGCGGUAGGGCAUCUUCCGCAAUGGGCGAAAGCCUGACGGAGCAACGCCGGGUGAGUGCUGAAGGUCUUCGGAUCGUAAAUCUCUGUUAUUAGGGAAGCGGUACCUAAUCAGAAAGCCACGGCUAACUACGUGCCAGCAGCCGCGGUAAUUC